AGUAAACUUCAGUAUCAUAAAUGUAAGAGAGGAGCCACAUUUGAAUAUUAACCCUGCUGAACAGUAACAUGCUCUAUAGGAAAAGAAUGAUGUUUCUUCCGGACCCAAACAAAAUCCAUCUCAAAGGGUCUCUUUCUCUCUCUACCAGAAUUAAAUAUUAGCCCUGCAGAAUUGUAACAAAUCUCUCUCUCUCUCUCUNNNNNNNNNNNNNNNNNNNNNNNNNNNNNNNNNNNNNNNNNNNNNNNNNNNNNNNNNNNNNNNNNNNNNNNNNNNNNNNNNNNNNNNNNNNNNNNNNNNNNNNNNNNNNNNNNNNNNCGUUACCGUACCGUAAACCAAACUAACACUACUACUAACGGUACGUACGUUCUUCUCUACUACUACGUAACUUAAAUAAUUACGUACUCGUCACGAUAGUAACUAACUUCUCUCUCUCUCUCUCUCUCUCUCUCUCUCUCUCUCUCUCUCUCUCUCCUGUGUGUUGUGCUGAGCAACCCAGACAGUUCAUUCCUGAUCUUAUAGAGUAAAAUCUCACUCUCUCUUGACAAUUUGGUAGGGGAUAUAUCAACUCAUCCAAACAUAUUGGGGAGGGGUCUCACAGCCAUGAAUACAUCCACCAUCUAGGAAGAAAAAGGAAACAAAACAAUCAAACAAAAUUGAAAAACACAAGUGUAUAUAGCUAGAUAACAGAGGAAACAAAACUUUUAACAACAUAACCAAAUGCAAAUUCAAAAUGCAAUCCAGGCACAAGUCCAGCUGGGCGGUAGACUUAGUUAAGCCCAAAACGGCCACGUCUUCAAAAUCUAAAUUUUGCCAAAUUUUCAGACUAAAGGGGACAACCAUAUAUUGAGGAAAUAGUUUCCUAAUUGAGUCAUUACAAAGCAAAAAUAGAAACAAAAACAAUAUAUCGGACCUCAUAGCUUUUAUUAGUAUAGCUAUUUUACAAAGUUAAGGGUCACAUAACUUAAAUUAGAAGAAAACACCUUUUGCAUGGAUAAGAGAGAGGUUAGCGUUUAUAAAAAGUCGGACUCGGGUUCCCACUCACCUCAGUCGCGAGCUAGAGCCCAUCAUGGAAUCAGCUGAGUCAAAGUCAAGUCUUAGGUCCAACUAAACCGAUAUUAACCAUAAAUAUCACAGGGGAUCCUGGGAUCGGGAGACACCUUAUUUUUGGCUUCUCCAUAGUUAAGGGAACCGUGGGGGUAGGGUGGCAUUCCUGCUCUAGAACCUCGAUCCCACGGUUCCUCCGAGGGAUCUCGUAGGGACCCCGGUUUUUCAAUUUUGGAAUCUCGCUCCCAUAUAAAGGUGAUCAUGUUCCAACCAUUAAUGGAUUCCAAUACUAUUUCGAAAUAGAUUCCUGCUCCCAUCAAACAUAGUCCAAGGUUUUGGUACAUUAUAAUCUUGGGUUCUAUAUAUGUGGAAUCUACUUUCAAAAACAGAUGAAUCUAGUUCCACAGUAUUCCUACACCUCUCUCUCUCUUUGAUAUAAGUAGCAACAAAUUUAGUAUCCAUGCAAAUGGCAAGUUUUAUAACAGAACAACAAAUUCAGUAUUCAUGCUCUGAUCAAUACUAGAUUAUCCAAUAAAAUGUCAAUUCAAGACAAAGUAACCAACACAACAUUCAUAUUCGGAUCCUACAUCCAGAUUUAUCACAUAAAUCUUAGAAAUUCAAUGCAUCGAAACCCAUGCAAAAUUCGUGCUUCAAUCCAAAUACCUGAUUAUGACAUAAAUCACAAAAUAUAUACGAAAAGCAACAAAAAAACAUUCAUCUUGUCACUAUCUCUCCACUCUCACUCUCACUCUCACUCCUCCCUGCACACACCUCUCUCUACUUCACACAACUCUCUCUCUACUGCGAACACACAAUGCUCUCUACUGCACACACACAACUCUCUCUAUUGCACACACACAACGCUCUCUACUGCACGCACACACACCUCUCCCUCUCUACUUCACACGCACGCAACUCUCUCUCUCUCUCUCUCUCUCUUGUGCACACACAAGAGUCAUAGAAAUACACAUGGAAAAAGCACAAGCACACAUACCUAUAGCAUGGAAGAGUUGGGAGAAUCGACCAGAUUCACCAGAAUGAUCACCACAUGCUAAUGGCAAAGGAGCUGUGUGGGCUGGUUUUUGGGUCCAAGGGUUAAUAUAGAGGGAGGGAGACAUGUUGGUGAUCUAAGUAUGUAGUUCAUUAAUAUAAUAGAAAAAAUCCAAUGGUGUACUUGUAGAUUAUUUUUUGGAUUUAUGUGUAAGGAAUAUCUUGGUGGUCCGAGGGACUAUGUUAUUAAAGUUAUACCUCUAAUGAGAUCUGUAGCAUGUAUAAGAAUGGUGUACAUAAGUAUACUACGGACUAUCUAAUAGAGUGAUCUAUACUUUUAGGAUUUAUCAAGUACUAUAUAGGCACCUGAUGUAUCAAAUUUUAGUAAUACGCAUUUAAUUAAAUAGAUUAUGUCAUACACAUUAUAUUUUGGACUAGGGAACACAAAAUAAGUAGCAAAAUAAUCCAUACUCUUUAGAUUUAUCAUGCAUAUAGGCAUGUGCCGCAUAAAAAUAUGGUUUGAUGCACUUAUGUAAACAUAGGAUGCCAUGCAUAUUACAUUUUGGACUAUGGACCACAGACGAUAUAGUAAUGUGCCUAAAAGUAUUUAAUAUUUCAUCAAGUAGCAUGUAUGCCUAGAAAUAGGGCACAGUGGAAUUAUUUAAUUAGAGGUUGUCAUACGCUCAUAUGUGCAUAUUGGAUUUUGGAGCAAGGAACUAUGGACAUAUACAGUAACGUGUUCAGUAGUAUUUAGCAUUUAUCAAGUAGCAAGUAGCAUGUAAGCAAUGUGAUGUAUAGAAAUGGGAAACUAUAGAUUUAUUUAACUAGAGGAUAACAUACAUAUGGGACUCGUUUCCUUAACCGAAGGUAGUUGCGGACCUUGGGGCCAAUCAACUGAGGACCUUGAUUCCUAUACUCGAAGAAUCUCGAUAUUAGAACAAGAGGAACCCCGUUAUACAACAAAUGGAAACCUCGAUCCCUUAACCAAGGGAACCCGUACUAGCUCUACUUGACAGCCAUGUUUAAUGUGUUAUAGAGCUUAGAUUCUUGCCAGUCAAAACCUCGAACCCAUCGAUAUGGGAUCUCGCUCCCAUAAACCUAAAGAUCUCGUUCCCUCUCUUGUUCAUUAUACGGACGCCGAUCCCAAACCCAGGGAACUUCCGCAAUAGGGCGGUUCGGCUAUUUCCAAACGGAUCCCGCUUCCGUCUUCAACAACUAUGGGCUUCUCCCUCCGAGAUUACCAUAGUCCUAAUCCAGAGCCAUUUCCCAAAAUCCAGCAUCUUGUAGAUUGGAAAUGUAUACAAUGAGCAAAGCGGAAACUUCACAUCAGUUAAGGUGUCAGAUGUCAACAAGGGUCAGCUAAGGUGUGUCAUCCCUCACUCAAAGUCCAUGAAUAAUUUAAACGGGUUAUGAAGAAAGACCAGCACCUGUGUAGAAACAAGCCUCCUUCCUCCCCCCCUAUGCUGUGCCUCGAGGCGGGGAGGGUGCCUAAAUACCUUGCCUGGGCCGAAGCAGGUAGCCUCAGUCAGCCAAGGUGCCCAAUUGGGUUGCCAGAUGUCAACAAGGGUCAGCCAAGGUGUGUCAUCCCUCACUCAAAGUCCAUGAAUAAUUUAAACGGGUUAUGAAGAAAGACCAGCACCAGUGUAGAAACAAGCCUCCUGCCUCCCCCCCCUAUGCUGUGCCUCGAGGCGGGGAGGGUGCCUAAAUACCUUGCCUGGGCCGAAGCAGGUAGCCUCAGUCAGCCAAGGUGCCCAAUUGGGUUGCCACAUGGACCAAAGGAAGAAAUUGCCCAAGGGCCAUGGCCAAAAUAGCCUUUUUCCCUCUUUUAAGGGGGAAAAUUGGGGGGUGUGGUUUGUUUAUAAUCCCCCCAAAACCUUUUUAGAACUAAUCUUGAGUUAACGCAAACAAUCUUUGAAGAGUUUUGAAACUUUUUUGAAAUUGAAAAUAUUCUAGAACUUCAAAGAAUCUUCUGGCCCAAUUUAUUUGAAUAAGAUCUCUUGGAAACUACCAAGGGAGGUUACAAGAUACUUUGGGCGAUCACAGCUUGAUAUUCAUCUUGAAACAUUUGAGGAUCAAAGACCUAAGCAGCAAAGGUUAGUGUUACAUGUCAAUCAACUGAUAGUACAUGCAUGCGCAUGCAUGCAUAUUUGUGUGUGUGUAUGCACACACACACAGACAACAAAGGUUAGUCAAAUUCAUAAAUGUGUUUCAAUUCAAUUAAUUGACAGCACAUGCAUGCGCAUAUAUACAUACAUAUAUAAAGAUAGAUGACUAGUACAUGCACAGGCACACGGGCACGCACAAGAACAUUAUACAAAUGUGCAUAUAUGUGUUUGUCGGGCGUGAGUGCAUACAAAUGUGAUUGGAGCUUAGAUAUAUGUAUGUAAAUGUGCAUGGGGUGCACAUAGGUUCCAGUAUCAUGCGUAGGUGGCCAGGCCCCUGUGGCAGCCAAGGCAUUACAUUCCGCUUUUUGAACAUUGAAUGACACAACCCACCCGUCCACUAUUGAAAUCCAACAAUUCAGCUGAUGUGAAAGUUUCGGAAGAUUCACUGCAGUCAUUGUAUACUAAUUCUUACAAAAGCGCACAAAUAAACACCUUCACCAAGCAUGAAAAAACUGUUGGUUCUCCCAAAGAAGAUACCAAACUCAAAAAGCCAAACUUAAACAUGAAAUCACAUCUAACCCCACCUCAGAGAGCGAGAAAGAGAGAGAGAGAGAGAGAGAGAGAGAGAGAAGCACAACUUCUAAAGAAGAAUCAAGACAAAAAAUUAUCCAGGAAACUAAUUGGUGAAACAUUAUGUUACCUCCUCUGUAACAGCAGCACGAGCCUUGCGAUGUCUCUCAACCAACUCAGUCAGGACUUGGAUAAGCUUUUGCUUAACCUCGCCAGUUAGCAUCCGCCCAGACCCAUACUCCUACAGAAGAGAGAGAUAAAUAAAAGAACAGAGAAACAUAACUGAAGUCUCAUAACUCAUAAGAAAGUAUACUAUAAUGAACUAUGGUUAAAUGAAGAUCAUUUAUUCAAGACCGUCCCAUAAAAUGGAUGGUCAUGGAGAAAGAUUGGGAGCCAAAUUGGAGACAUGCCCCCUUCCAGUGAGUACCACUCUCCAUCACCAUCCAUCUUUCCAAAGCAGCAACGAAUCUAUGGACUAUAGUCCAUUGCAGAACAAUAUACUUUGCAUUAACUUAUUGCCCUCUCCAAUAUAACCCCAACUUGAGAAAACAUCACUAAAUCCUGUGUCAAUCCACAUAUCGAAAGUUUUGUCCAACCUAUACACUCUGCAUUAACUUAUAUAACCCCAAUUGAAAAAAAAUCUACUAAAUCCUGUGUCAAUCUACAUAUCCAAAGUUUUGUCCGACCUAGAUGACAUGAUAGAGAAGAAAAUCAAAUAAGAACCACUAUCAUUCCAAACUUCACUAUGAUGAAUGAGCAUUUGGCUAAGUUCCAAGAUGUUAUACUCUUAAAAAACAAGAAAAUAGAUAGCAAAGGUCAUCUCACCUUUCUUAUGUGCUCUACUUCAUCAUCAUCAUCUAGAAAGAAGGUGAGGUACUUGAAUGGUAUGUCAACCUGAAAAAUCCAAAGAUAAUUGACAUGAAAGAAGGCACUGGAUAGUAUUUAAUUAGAUCCUCCAAGUCAUUUGCAUAGGUACAGAACAAAAUCGCAGAGACUAAAUUUGCACAAAUAUAAAAUAUUAAAAAAAAGUUCAUAAAAACAUAAAUCAAUACAUAACCAAAAAAGAAGAACCAAUGUUGGUUUUUUUUAUUAUGGAUCUACAGUUUCAUAUUUCAGAGAUCAGAUGCCGCAAAGUUCACUUAAACAUAGUUAUAGGUGUUCCAAUUAUUGCAGAUAUAAGAAAAAGUACAAUCAGUGAUUAAAAAACCUCAGCAGUGAACUUGGGAAUCGCCCAACCAGACAGGAGGACCCUGGCAAUUCUGGAGGGAUACACCCAAAAAUCAGCUUCCGAUCCUAGAGUCCCCUAAGUUAUUUUUGGCAAAAAAUCAAUCAUAUCACAGUCUCGGACUAGGCCAAUUUUGUGAUGGACUUGGACUCACGACCCUGGUAAGUCAGAGCCUGUAUCCGACUUUUUAAACACCGGUACAAACCAUACUGAUUGGUGAAGAGGAAAAAAAGCACCUUAUUAACCUUGUAUCUCUCUCCCUCUCUCCCUCUUAAAUGCACCCAUAAACAAUAUAUUAUUAUAUCCAUAGAUAACAAUCUCUUUUUUUUGGGGUAAGUAUAACAAUCUCUCUAUGUUUCUCAAUGGGAUCCUGGCCACCCUCAAAAGUAUAAAUAUUCAUUUCCUGGGAAAAAGUUACAGUUAAAAAAAAGAAAAAGGUUGAAACAUAGACGGUCGUUCAAAGGGAUGAGAACCUCCAAAUUCGCCCCAAGCUCCCUAUGUUUCUCAAUGGAAUCCUGGCCACCAGAAAAUGCAUGAUUGUUCACCUGCAAACAACAUAUAAGGAAAUCAUCAAACAUGCCGUUUAAAAUCUGUACCUUAACAUAAAGUUUGAAUUGAAAAGGAAGGGUUUCAAGAUUGUUCUCUAAAACGCAUAAAUUCAAGGAUAAAGUAAUUUCACAAAGAAACAAAUACUUUGCAGUCCUUGUAUUCAUAGAAUACCAAAUAUAUGAACAAACAACAUGAAGCCAACAACAUUUGGCCCAUAAGCAACUAAGUUUCAAGUAUGAUAGAAAUAACUAACUAGUAACUAGAUCUUUUUAUAUUUUCACUUAAGAGUAUACUUUGAUUUUAGAGUAAUUUAGCCCGGUUCAGCCAAAAGAUAGCAAAACACCUGUUUUUUAUCUUUUUGUUUUUUGUGAAACCUAUAUGUGAACGGUUGAGUCCUUAAUCCAGUUCGAAGCUCUAGAGCUAUAAUCCUCUGAGACCAGGAGUAAUAUGGGUGCAAUCAGAUGGUGGAGAAUAUAUGGGAUUUCAUUACACUUUGAUUUUGUCUUCAUCAUUGUUUUGGAAACUGUAUUGCUUUAGUUUUAUAAUGAAUAAUUAUUUCUCCGGGAAAAAAAAAAGUUAGCAAUGGCAAUGAUUUUUAAAUAGGAAGUUUCAUUAUUAGAAAUUAAGUUGCCCAUCUUUCAUAUUGCUUGAUUUCCCACAAAUAUAAAGACUGCACCAGAUGGCUGGUGUAAGUGUUCAUCCGAUCAGCUACGGGUCCCUUGGCCAGGCCGGCCCAAAUAGACCAAAUUUCAUCAAGAAACAGUAAAAAAUAAAUAUUUGCCAGAUUUGGCCGGUUCUAACUGGUUGUACCUAUCAAACAAGGUAAGUCAAAAAAAUAUAUAAUAUAUUUCGUAGUUUUGACUAUUUUCCUUUUUUAUUUACUUUCAGAAUCCAAAACGGUCCAGUGGGCAAUCUCACCAGUUUUGUCUGGCAUGGACCCCUAACCAAUUUGCUAGAAGGUCCAAUCCUGAUACCAGUGGUCUUCCAAGUUUUCUUUCCUUUAGUUGCCGCGAGGAUUGCUAGUCAUUGAAUGGCUUCAACUAAGAAGCUCCUCAAAUAAAUAUUAGAAGCUCCUCAAAUAACUAUUAGCAGCUGAAUGACAUCAAUUUAUCAAUUAUCUCUACUUUUUGAGAAAAGGCCUUAUUAACAACAUAAAGGAAUCAUACAAUUACAGAAGAAAAUAUCAAGAAGGCAUCUCGAACUAAAUUGUUCUCUAAAGAACUGGUAACAGAUAAAAGAAACUGGUUAAACACAAAGUGUUUUGCCAUGAAUAAUAUUCUAACAUAAUGAGUGAAAAAUAAAAGAAUUUUGUUAACUCUCAAGUAUAAAAAGGUUGAAAACAAACCUUCUUCUUGAUAUCUUUGGCAGAAUCAGUGACAUAAAUUGCAGAAUUAGGGUCACUAGCUGACAUCUUACCUGUUUCACCCUGCAAAUUUCAAGGUCUCAGACUAUCAAAUUCCAAAUUAAAAAGGAAAUGGGAAUCAAAGGUCCGCCAAAGGGGAGUUAAAAGCCAAAAUCCAAGGCAAAAUACAAACAGAAAAAAAUAAAGGAAAAGUGUUUUGUGAGUAAGUGGACUCACUACCCCGCUCACUCACAGAGAUUCAUCUUUAAGAUGAACCUCCACAACUAAAAUUCCUAUCCAAUGGAUAGGAAAGAAUUCUUACAAAAAUGUUUUAAAAUUCUUAAAAAAAUGUUUUAAAAUUUUAUUUUAUCUUUUAUAUUCAGAAGCAUCAUGGAUCUCUACAAAUUUGGAUCCAAGAUCUAUAUAAAAAAUGAGUGUCAAGAGGGAGCCCGCAUGAUAAAAGUAUGAGUUGGGGGACUCAUAAAAACCAGGUCCAAAAAUAAACAGGGGAAAAAAGCAAAAGAGAAGAAUGAGCAAGCCCAUUACAUUCUGAUUACAAUGGCAUCAUUUCCUGUAAGAAAGGAUACAAAAUGGUCCACUAUUUGGGAGUUGAAAUAGAAAUCAAAAUAUAUAGCAGAAUGGAAAAGGAGGGAAUGUAAACCAGAAGACGUAAAACAGAAAAAUUAGUGAAUGUAUAACAUUCCAAUCACAAAGACAAUCUUUGCAAAAUAAUGAAUGAUAAAAAUGCUCCAUAGCUAUGUAUUCAGAAGACCUGCAGCGCUGGGAAGAACGAAGAUUCUAUCAAUGCAGGCUUUUGAUAUCCUAUCCUUGGAGCAACAUCACGUGUCAUCCUAAAAUAAGGAUCCUGCACAAAACUUUGAGAAGUUAGCAGGGCAAUGAUUUGGAUCAUACAAGGAAAAGGAGCAAGUACACAAGUUAACAAAUAGAACUGAUGUAAAAGAAAAAGGUAACGAACUAUGCCAAGUUAGGAACAGAAAAAACAGGUGAGCAAAAUAUAAAUUUCAUACAGGAGAGACUGGUAAUAUCAUUGUCCAGAAAAAGAAAAAGACGCGCAUAAUUGAAGAUGAUUGAACUUCACACACUGUAAUUAACAACAAAAAUUACAGUCUCUCCCCUAUGAUCACCCAGCUACCAUCCCUUCCUAACACUAUGACAUACAGAGAGAGACUCGCACUCUCUCUCAAUCACAAGGUGCAAGAACUGUCACUCCUAAAGUACGUGGCUGCUAGGGCUUUCCAUCAGCACUACCAUAGUUCUAUACUAUCUCUAUUUAACAGUCAUCCGUAGAGCUAUAGUAAUACAAGGUAACACCAGAUCAUUCAAGGAAGGACAAAGGUUCUCCCACAUUGCAAACAAGAAUCAUUAAAAAUUACCAUAGUUUUAGGAGCCUUUACGCUUCCUUAAUACAAGAUUCCAUCAAAUAAGCACCCGAGUUAAAGAGUCCUAAUCCCUAAUAUAGCCAUAGUAAAAAUCAGCCUUCCCCUGAAAGGACAACUCAUAUGGAAAGUGGGUGGACAUCAAAAGUUGGAAUUUUAGCUUGAAUAUUGUAUUCACCUUGCUAAAUAUAGCACCACUUGGAAAACAUUAUUACAAUGCCACCUCCACAAAAUUCCCAUCUGUUAUAUCCUAAAGAAGGACAAAGAAAGGCCACCAGGCCUAGAAGCUCAGUACAGAAAGACUAAACAUGCUGCCUAUUUCUAACACGAGGUUUAAAAGCUAAUUUCUGAUGUCAAUGCAAAGUUAUUAUUCCAAACAUUGUAAUUUUGCAGCAAGGUAACAAUGCAUUAAGCAACUUCUAAAAAAAAUGGCAUAAAAAACCAAAGCAGUCAGAGGAAAAUGGUGCCUUCUAGAAAGAAAAAGUCACAAUGAACUCAAUCAUACUGACAACUGGAAAGAGAGAAGUAAACCUGGUCGAUAGCACAUGGAAUCAGACAGCGGAGAUCAUCUUUGCCAGAAAAGAGAUGUGGAAAUGAGCUAGGAAAGGAAGGAACAGCCUGUGGAAAAAAAAAGCAUACCUCAAAGUAGCUACACUAAAUGUGAAUCAGAACUAUAAAAUAUCAACCAAAUGACAGCCCAUCUGAGCAGAAUAAAAUAAUAGAAGGAUCAAAAUAGAUGCAUUUUGAGCAGAAAUUUGUCCAGUAAUCAAGCAAACCUGAACAGGAGGGAAACUGAUUUUGCCUAUAUGAUCUUCUGGUGUGAAUCCAAAUAUCCCCACCACCUGGAAGAAACAUUUUGAUGGACAUGAACUCAUUAAAACUAAUAGCAUUGCAAGUAAGUCUAGUAUAUUCAUUUCCAAAAUAACAGUUCCCAUUAUCUUCUUCUGAGUUUUUAUCUGUAAAAAUUUUAUUUCUUUGCACUCUUUUUUUUCUUUUCUUUGAUAUUAUUUUGUUCCACAUCCCAGAAAACAUUUUUUUUAUGUUAUUUUUUAUUAUUCAUUUCUUUUCCAACCUGAAUUUGGUUCUCCUCAUUGUUUCUAAUAAGAACGGUCAGUUACCAACACAAUAGGAUUGCAAAUAAAGGAGAAUAAAUAAUAAAAUGAUUCUCUUUAGUACUAUUAAUAAACUUUCAGCCCAACCAACAAGGACAAUAACAAUAAAAAAGAUCUACAAUUUUUAUUUUUUUUUGACAAGGUUACAUAGGAAUGGAACUUGAGACGUAGUGCUAUGAAAAUCUAGCUGCUACCACCUUGACCCAAGCUCGAUUCCCUAAAAAAGAUCUACAUAUUCGGAAAAUAUAUAGAAUAAAAACCAGAAAAGUGGAAAUGGAAAGGAAGGACAUCCAUAUGAGAAUAACCUUGUUAAAUGUAACACAUUUUGCAACUUUCACCAUGUUCUUGUAGAAGGCUCUGCCGACAAUAACAUAGAUAUGAGAUUAUUACAACUUUAAAUGCAACAAGAGCAACAAAUUAUGAUCAUGUUCUUUUCCGAUAAAGAAGAGACUAUUACCAUGUUAUCAAAAAGAAAUAAAUUAUACCAAAUGAAAGAAGAAAGGAUCAAUAACAAAAUAGAUUAAGCCUUUAUUUGGACAAUGGAGUCUUAGGCCACUGAUGGUAUUAACUAUUAAGAAACCAGGUGUACAAAGUUAGAUCUAAUCUAUUCAACAUAAGUAAAACUUACCCACCAACAUAAUCAAAGUCAGAGAAUAUGAAAGUUCUAGUGACAUCAAAACCACAUGCUAUGAUGUCUUUAGCAUUUUCACGAGCAAGCCUCUGACUCUCUUCUACUGAUAGAUUCUUCCACAUGCACUUCUCAUCAUCAGUGAGCUGUAUAACAAGGGGAACUUUAAAAGCAUCCUGCAAAUAUCUGGAAACAGAAAUAUGGCAUGUUCACAAAUUAAAGCACAUCUAAAUGAUUGAGAAAUAACAUAUUAGUUAUUCCUUGUUUUCAACAGCAUUGCUUUACUAGAAAGCAUAAAAAUGGAUGCUUUUGACCCAAAAGACCAAAAGAAUAGAGAGGCAUAGACUACAGUUUUAAAACAAAAUGGAAAUUUUUGGUCCAUGACUUGCAAAAAUCAUAUGACUUUGUUGAAAUGGCCAAUGGUCCAAUUCCACCAGGGGAACAAUAACUUCGAAAAUAAAAUUGAAAAAAAAUAGAGCAACCCAAUUCAAUACAUGCACACAGCACAUCACAGGAAUAAGAAAAAUAUUUUUCUUCAUCAAAAAGGGAAAAACAUAAUCUAAACAAUGAAUGUAAAACAAGAUGGAAUUGCAGAGAAAAAGGUGACCACAUGGUAAAAACAAAAGGGACCAAGUGCCCAAAUGCAGUUCAUUUCUGAAAAUUUUAAUGAACUAAAAUCCAGUUCAAUUUAUGAACAUCAAUGAAACCAGAUUACAAAGAAAAAUACACCUUCUUAUAAUUACGAAGGAAAAUAGGAUUUAAACAAUCAAUGUAGAAAAGAUAUAAUUGCAGAGAGAAAGGUGGCACACUUGGUAAACAUGAAGGGAACCAAGUGCCCCAAAUGCAAAGCUUCUGAUGAUGGUCCUCUUCCUGUGUAAAGAUAGAAAUUCUCCCCUCUCUCAUAAGCAUCAAGAAUCUCAUUAAAAUCCCUGGAAAAAGUCACACGCAUGAUGUGAGCUUUCAAUCAAUCAUUCAUAUCAAAGAAAAAAUGCUGCACAAUGUAAAUUUCGAUUGAGAUUAUUCAGUUGGCAUUUUCUAUGAACAGGAACUCAGUAACCAAGAGAAACUGAAAUCUUUUGAUAUUUUAAUCAAUAAUUCACCUAAUGAACAGAGCUCUAUAAUCUGGAAGAACAGAAAACUGAGAAAUUACAGGCAUGAUGUGAGCUUUCAAUUAAUAAUUUUGAUGCAAAAAAUGCAUGCACAAUGUGAGUUCUGACUGAUAAUUCAUAAAUUCAAUCAAUAAUUUACUAAAUAGAAGAUUGAAAGCGAGAGAAAUAUAAAAGUUUCGAUAAUUUAAUCGAUAAACAGAAAUCCAAUAAUCUAGAGUAAUAAAAAACUGAGAAUUUAAUCAAUAAUCCAACAAAUUGCAUGUUUUAUAAUAAAAACCUUGAAAUUUAAUUAAUAAUCUGCCGAAUCACAUAGAAAAAUGAAUAUUUUUGGUGAUCGAUAAUUCACAGAGUAAAACAAAUUUUAAUAUUUUAGAAGUGUCAAAUGCUAGAAUUCAAUAGUAAAACAGCCAAAUCAAACAGUAGCCCAAUGAUCCAAAGGAACCAAAAAAUAAAAUUUCCAGGAAUUCAACUAACUAUGAACCCAAUUAAACAGCGAUUGAUUAGUUUAUUAGAGUUAUAAACUGAAUAUUUGAGCAGUAUUCGAGCUUAAAAAAAAAGAAACUGCACAAUUAAGACGAUUCAUAAGCUUGAACCUAGGGUUGGGGUUUGAGAUAGCUUGCCUGUGAGCAAAGAACACGCCCCUUCGAAGGAAGACAUGGGGAGGUCGAGAGGUGACGCGCUCAACCCUCUCAACAAACGAAGGGUCGAGGCGCUGGCACCCAAACUUGUCGAUGAGCUUGUCGUAGUCGAUCUUCUCGCCCUUUUUCACAGUGACCUGGAAUGGGUUCACGAUCUGGUCUUCUUCUUCCUCUUGGGGCACCUCAUUCGCGUUCUCUCCCAUUUCUCAGAGGUUUAUCAGAGAGAGAGAAAGGAAGAAGAGAGAGAAAGAGAGGGAGGAGAGUGUGGGAAUGCAGAUCGUGAGUGCGAGUGGAGAGAGACAGUAGUGGAGAGAGACAAAAGACCGAAAGCAUUCUUCACAAAUCGCCCGUCCGGUUAGAUGGGAACCAGCCCGCUGCCGGUUCCUGUUUUUGGGGAUAAGCCAGUACUUCAAAAAAAAUUUAAAAAUAUAUAUAUAAAUUCUCAAAAUUAGAGUAUUUGAUUUGUAAUAUAUUUUGAAAUAUUAUUUACAUUAUCAUAAAGAUUAAAAAUUGUUUUGGUCAUUAAUAUUUACUUUUAUAUCUUCGCAUUUUUUUUAACAAAUUAAAUAUAGCUAUCGAAAAAUAUAAAGUGGGUUAAAAUCCAUUUUUCAUUAAUUUCCAACUUCAUUUGAAUGUGAUUUGUUUUAAUCAUUAUUUAUAUAUUUUUCAUAUUUUAGUGUUUUUUUAUAUGCUUUUCAUAUUUCAAUAGAUUUUUUUAAAAAAAAAAACGCUAUUUUGAUCGCCCGAGACUUGCCUGAUCAGAACCGUUAAAUCAGCCGAUAUACCGAUUAGGUCGGUUAAACCGCUUCGAGGUCCAUGACCGAUUAGAGCCUUCAUAGAUAAUUUUUUAUGCUCAAAGUGCUCUUCAAAUGAGGAUUUGAAAUGGGACUUUGCUUUGAUAAAACUAAGCCAAUUGCAUCCAAAUAAGGGAGAGGAAGAGGUGAAGCAAGAUAUACGAGCAAAUGAUUUUGAUUAGAAUCGUGAUGAAGGAUCUAGACCUAUUGAUUGAAUGAUUUAAAUUAGAUUAUCAUUAUGAUCAUCAAAGUUUUUUACCAUCUAUAUAGGAUCUAAGUCAUGGUCUAUCUUCCUGCACUACCAAAGGUUAUACUUUAGGUGAGACUAUAAGUCGUCAUAAAUUAAAUUAUAAAAUAAAAGUAAUAAUUCUAUAUAUAUUAUAAAAAAGUUGUUCAAUUUUUAUUAGUCGUUGAAUUUGUCAAAACCAAAUGUUCUCAAUGACCAAAGUCAGAUGAAGAAUAAUUUUGGCGGUUCUUUAGUAAAUCCAAAUUUUGAUUUGACCAACAUAGCAAAGCAAUGGCUUGCAGCUCAAUGGGACCAGCUGAUCCGGUCCGAUUUUGAUAACUAUUGGUGCAAACUCCUAUUAUUAAUUUUUAUUCAUAACUUUUAAUAUUUAUUGUGAUCAUCGAUCUAGAUCGGUAUUCUCACACAAAAUUGUGGGUGGACGAUCCACCCCACCAAUUUGAGUUUUGAGAAAAUUAUGAGGAUAGAUAACAAGAAAAGUAUAUAAAUGAGAAUAUUUAACUUUGGUACAAGGUGGUCAUAAUUAAUCAUGACUGUUGGAUGUGAAAUUGGGUAGCUACAUUUACUGCAUUGACCAAGCUUAAAGUUUAAAAGAAAUUAUCUCGAACUUUGUAAUACAUCCAAGCUAUCAGGUUUCGCAUUGGAUCAUUAUGAGUAACUGUGACCUCCUUGUAUAUAAAUAGUCUCUUUGUAUACAACUCCAAAUAACAAAGAGAGUAGAUAAAUACUAAGCUCCGGUUGGAUGACAAUUAAUUUUAUCAAAUAUAGUAUUUUAUGUGAAAUUAAUAUACCGUAUAUGAUAUUAUAUCGUCGAUUGUUUGAUAUGUACCUUGUAUUUAUAAUAUUAUUUAAAUAUUUAAUAUUUUGGCAAUAUUCCGCUAUUUUUGGACAACACAAGUGAUUUUUAACAUAUUACUUUGACAGACCCGGUUUGUAUGCGGCCAAGCUCGCAUAUGUAGAAAUGCAAGUCUCUUUAUAAAUCUAUUUUUGAGAUGGAUUUUAAGACUUGAUUUUUAAAGAUAUGCAAUCGCUAACAUGGAGAUCACGAAUAUGAAAAAAUAAAUAAAAUUUAAAAACUAUAAAUAAUAAUUCUAGUAAGAAAACUUUUGGACCGUUAGUUUCCAUUGUUUUCUGAAAGAACACCUACUUGCAUCCAUCUUUAAGAUGGAUGCUUUACACCUUCUUGACCACAUAUGUAGAACUGCGGUCCAAUCUACAUUAAACAAUUUUCCUACUUUGAAUAAAGUAGCAAUAUUAUUUCAAAGAUUGACAUAUAUGUAAAGGGUGCCAUUUGUAUAGAGCUUAGGCUCUAAACAAUCAAAUUAGAGCCUACCUUCAAAUAAUGUCGAUAAAUGUGGUUUCAAUAUUAUAAAUCUUUGUGAUAGCUUUAAAAUAUAUUUUCAUAUUUAUUUAUAAAGUUUAAAGCUUCAAAAAUAGUGUAGAUCGAUAGAUCUUUGAAAAAUUGAAAAUCUUGAAAUUGAUGGUCUAAAAAUGCGAUACAAAAAACCCUAUUUUCAAAACUUGAAAUCCAUUUUUUUCUCAUGUCCAUGCAUCUUGGAGUCGAGAUAAUCAAUUUGAGGAUACUUGGACGUCAAAACAACCUCUUCUAGUGAAAUUUUUGAGGUAGGCUCUAUUUUGAUUGUUUAGAGCUUUAGCUCUAUAUAAACUUUUUCCACAUGUAAAAUUACUUAUAAGUUUAGGGAUUGUCUACAAAGACACCAUUUGUCUUUUGUACAUCGAGGUCACAAUCAUUAUUGUCUCUCCAAUUUUAAAAUUAGUGGUUGUAAGAGUGCCAUUGAAUAGACACAAAUUUCCAAAAAAAAGUUAUCGGAUUUCAUGACUUACCCCAAACCAUCUAUUUUGACAUCUAAUGAGUGAGAAUAGUUAUGACAUCCAUAUAUAAAAGAUAAAUGGCCUCUUUAUAGACUAUCCCAUAAAUUUAUAUCAAAUACUUUAUAAUGCACAUUGUAAAAAUAUAUGAGAAAUAAGAAAUGGUGCAGGUAGCAUACAGAUGCAUCCGUAGCUGUAGAGGUAAGGUGCACCUUCAAAAUUUAUCAUGGUAUAUAAUUUUGAUGUAAAAUAUUAUUAGGAUUAUCUCAAACUCUAUAUUUAUAUCUAAUUAUAAAAUUUUAAAAUGGUUAAAAUCAAGUAAAUCUAUAAACAUAUGAAAAUCUUGAAAAUAGACGGUAUAGAUAAUAUGUUGUAAAAUGGACUAUUUCUAAGACUUAAAAUCUUUUUAUUUUUCAUGGUCAUACAUCUUGAUGUUGAGAUGAUCAAUCAAAGGGUUUCUCAAUAUUAAAACUACCUUUUCCGAUGGAUUUUUGAGGUGCAUCCGUGGUUCUAUAUUAUAAGGUUGUACCCUUAUAUAAACUUUUUCCAUAAGAAAGAGGUUUAAAUAUAGGAGAGAGAUGAUUGGGGAAAAUACUAAAACAAAGAGAGAGAAAAAGGGGUUUUGAGAUGAAGUAACCAUAGGCAAUUUCACCUCCAUUUGGGAAAGUAACCAUUGUGUUUUUUUAAAUGAUUUGAUAUAGCUAUAGCCAUAUCGAAAUAAAUAAAACCUCAUCUUAUAACUCAUCCAAAAUUGCAAUUUAAGUAUUAAAAAAGUUUUGCAUCGAUCAUAUUGGCUUGAAGGUAUGGCUGUGAAAAAAAAAAAAGAAAAAAAAAAGAGAUUUUAAGCUCUAAAAAUUGUGUAUAAUAUAAUAAAUUUUUAAAAACACCCAUUUCACCUUAAAAAUAGGUGUUCAUAGAUCCAGAAGAUAUGUAUUAUUUUUUGAACUUCAAAUUUUAUUAUCAAUAUUGAAAAUUGAUUUUAGAACCAUGAUGGAGAUUUUUGUCGCUUAAAGUACUUUCCGGAUGAGAAUUUGAGGUGAGGCUUUAUUUUAUUUUCAUAAAGCCCGGUCUUAUAUAAACUUCAUCUUUGUUUUUCUUAGGGGAAAUUACAUAUAUAUCCAUUUUAUUCCCGUUAUUAUAAAAUGAUUUUUUGGUAUCUGUUAUUACAAAUAUAUCCGUUUUUUUUAACUUCAAUAACAUUUUUUUUUUAAAAAAUGACCAAACUUCUCAUUUUUGGGUUUAAAAAAACCGAAAUGUUAAAAAAAUUCGAUUUUUGAAAAAAGCCAAAAAAAUAAUAAUUUUUGCAUUUUAAAAACCCGAAUUAUAUGUUUUUCGAUUUUUCACAUAUCUAAAAUUUUGACAUCCUCCUCUCCCACUCUGCAAUGGGCUCCUUGAAUUGUUACUUGCAGGGAAGAAUAAGCCAAAGAGAAAAAGAACAUGGAAGAUUCAAAGCCAUAACUUCCUUCUCUCCCUCUCCCUCUUCAUUAUUAUUGGUCUUAGACCAAAAAAAAAAAGAUUUAUCCCCUGUCGCUCAACCCUUCUCUUCAUCGGCAAUCCCUCUUACUCCUAUCAUUACCUACAGAGAAGAAGGUACCAAAAAAAAUCGUAAUCUACAGGGAAACCCUUGAAACAAUAGUAGUCAAGCACAUACUUGGCAGACCGCAUAUACCAAGUAUUGCUUGUUCCGAUCAAGGAGAUACAAAGCACAAAUUUGGCUCUUCAAAAACCGAAUUUAGUUGAUUUUGGGUUUUUAAAAAACAAAAUAGGCAGUCAUGUAUUUUUUUAAAAAAAUAUUAUGAAGUUAAGAAGAUGGAUAUAGAUGUAAUAAAAAAAAACUAAAAGGUCUAUUUAUAAUAGGAAAAAGUUUAUAUAAGGAUGCAACCUUAUAAGGUAGAACUACGGAUGUCCUUCAAAAAUCCAUCGGAAAAAAUAGUUUUAACGUUGAAAAACCCUUUGAUUGAUCAUCUCGACAUUGAGAUGUACGACUAUUAAAAAUAAAAAGAUUUUAAGUCUUAAAAAUAGUGCAUUUCACAACAUAUUAUCUACACCGUUCAUUUUCAAGAUUUUUUAAAAUUUAUAGAUUUACUUGAUUUUAACUAUUUUUAAAAUUUAAAAUUUGUAUAAUUAGAUAUAAAAAUAGAUUUUAAAAUAAUCUUAAUAAUAUUUUACAUCAAAAAUAUAUACCAUAAUAUAAUUUGAAGGGUACCUUAUCUCUACACCUAGGGAGGCGUUUGUAUGCCAAUUGCACCCUCUAUAAUAACAACAAAUAUAACAAAACAUAUACAUAAUUUUCGUCUUCUUUUUUAUUUUAUUUAUUAUUUUAUUUAUGUUAACUUUGUUGAUUUCAUCAAGCGUUUUUUAUGUAUGCUAACUUUGUUGAUUCCACCACCAAAGUUCACCUCCCUCUCUCUCUCUCUCAACGUAUCUCCCUCUCUUCUUGCUCUCUCUCUCUUCCUCAGCUCACAUAUUUGACGUUUAUCUUUCUCUCUCUCUCUCUUCCUCUUUCUCUUUCGACAGCCACCUUUCCAUACGAUUUCUCUCUUCCUCUCUCUCUAUCAUAUUUCCCUUCUAUCCAUCUCUCUUACCCUCUUUUCCUCAACUGUUUUGAAAGGCAGGGUUUUUGAGACAGUAACUGUUAAUCACCUGUUCUGUUCAAUUCUUGAGCUGCUGCAAAGACGAGGUGACUCCAUUCCUCCAAUUCAUUAAUUUGUCUAUACUGAAAAUCUCCCUUUUUUCUCAUAUUUUUAUCAAAUUUCACUGCAAAUAGUCAUUACUGGUGUUCUCACUAAAUUUACAAGUUCGAUUUUGAUUAUUACUGCUCUCUUUCUCUCUCUCUCAGCAGUCUCACAAAGCCCUAGUAAUGGUUAAUUAUAUUGGAUAAGGUGACAU
rnacentral:lncRNA from 1 species